ACAGGAGCCCAGAGACCUCGCAGGAGGAAGCAGCAGUAUCUGUGUUCCAAAUCCUGCCCAGCCCCCAGGCAGCCAUGGUAUCUUCUCAGCUGGCUCGAGGGCACACCUCCCAAAAUGCAGAGAAGGCAGGGUGGCUAGGAAUGGCUCUAGUAGAAUUCUCCCCUUAUCUUGUCUGGAAACAAGGGGCAAAGAGCUAUCUAUUUCCUCCUGCCAGCCUCCUGCCCCCAACAGGAUUCCUCACAUCCCAGGACCAGCUGGAAAAGGUGGUGAGAGUUGGAAAGAGACUGCUCAGUGAGGACUGCCCUGCGAACCAGCUUGGAUUCAUCCCGUUCACCUCCACGUUCUGCACUCGGGGCCGAGGGAAGGGAGGCAGCCCAGGCAGCUAGAGAACUUGAUGAAACACACUCAAUCUGAAUCUCGCUUGAUCGUCAUGCUGACCCAGUGAGGGUUGUGAAAAUCUAUGGAGGCACAAUGGUUCAGCUAUUCCACCUUAUCCAGAGAGUUGAAACUCCACCACAGAGCUCUCCAAAGUGGCACAUGGUGCUGUGCAGACUCCACCGCUGCUGCCAGUACCAGUCCUGUGCGUCCAAAGCCUGCCUGCAGGGUAGCCAUCAGCAGCCAGGGCCAGAGGGCAGCCAGCUGCAGCUGGUGGCCACCACUCAUGCUACCAGCUGCAGCAAUGCACUUCAACCAUACAUACUGCUUCCACUAGCUAAUACCAAAUGCAGGUUCUCAGAUCCAGACAAAUGGAGGAAAAGAACAUUUAUGCUUCCGUUUCAGAAAGCCAAGUCGUAGUUUUGGCCCUUCCUUUCUCUAAAGUUUAUUCCCAAAAACAGGUAGCAUUCCUGAUUG
rnacentral:lncRNA from 10 species